AGAGAGAGACAUGCGCGCAUAUCAAUAAGCGGAGGAAAAGAAACUAACUAAGGAUUCCCUCAGUAACGGCGAGUGAAGCGGGAAGAGCUCAAAUUUGGAAUCUUCAAGGUUCUACCUUGACGAAUUGUAGUUUAAAGAAGUGUUUUCUGCUGAAGUUUUGGUAAAAGUUCUUUGGAAUAGGACAUCAUAGAGGGUGAGAAUCCCGUAUUUGACCAUUAUUUUCAGCUUUGUGAUACACUUUCAAAGAGUCGGAUUGUUUGGGAAUGCAGUCCAAAAUGGGUGGUAAAUUCCAUCUAAAGCUAAAUAUUGGCGAGAGACCGAUAGCGAACAAGUACCGUGAGGGAAAGAUGAAAAGAACUUUGAAAGAGAGAGUUAAACAGUACGUGAAAUUGUCAAAAGGGAAGCGUUUGACACCAGUGUUGUUUUCUCGAAAAUCAAUUAAAAAUGGCUCGAUUUUGUAUUGUUGAGACCUUAAAAGCUCACUGUACAUUUUUCGUGUCUUUUUUAAUGCACUUUUCGUUUAACAAGUCAACAUCAGUUUCUUUUGUUGUAAAAGGGUCAUUGGAAGGUGGCUUUCUUUUCGGAGAAAGUGUUUAUAGCCUUUGGCCUCUGCAAUCGGAGAGACUGAGGUCUGCAGCGUAGACUCUUCGGGGUUAGAUACAUUUGUGCUAAGUUAUAGCUUUUUAUAGACAACUUGUUGACUAUAAUUAGUCUUGUAGCUUACUCGCUUAUGCUAUUUUACCUACGCUUAGGAUGUUGAGUCGUAGAGCACGCAG
rnacentral:rRNA from 1 species